rnacentral:rRNA from 1 species
AGCUCCAAUAGCGUAUAUUUAAGUUGUUGCAGUUAAAAAGCUCGUAGUUGGAUUUCGGUCGAGGCCGGCCGGUCCGCCGUUUGGUGUGCACUGGCUGAACUCGACUUCCUGCGGAGGACGCGCUCUGGGCUUAACGGUCUGGACGCGGAGUCCGCGUGGUUACUUUGAAAAAAUUAGAGUGUUCAAAGCGGGCUUACGCUUGAAUAGAUUAGCAUGGAAUAACACUAUAGGACUCCUGUCCUAUUUCGUUGGUCUCGGGACGGGAGUAAUGAUUAAGAGGAACAGUUGGGGGCAUUCGUAUUACAUUGUCAGAGGUGAAAUUCUUGGAUUUAUGUAAGACGAACUUCUGCGAAAGCAUUUGCCAAGGAUGUUUUCAUUA